GACAGGGGGCUCGAGCGUUAAUCGGAAUCACUGGGCUUAAAGGGUGCGUAGGCGGAUCGGUAAGCGUCCCGUGAAAUCCCCCGGCUCAACCGGGGAACUGCGAGACGUACUGCCGAUCUUGAGGAAGCUAGAGGCGGGUAGAACGAUAGGUGGAGCGGUGGAAUGCGUAGAUAUCAGGAGGAACACCGGUGGCGAAGGCGGGUCUCUGGGCCGAUACUGACGCUGAGGAGCGAAAGCGUGGGGAGCGAACAGG
rnacentral:rRNA from 1 species